AAUCACUGGUGGCUGCUGUUC
rnacentral:misc_RNA from 1 species